GAUGAACGUUGGCGGCGUGCCUAAUACAUGCAAGUCGAACGGGAAGGUUGCUUUCGGGCGGCUGGAGAGUGGCGAACGGGUGAGUAACACGUAACUGAUCUGCCCUUUAGAUUGGGAUAACCUUUGGAAACAGGGGCUAAUACCGGAUGAGACCGUGGUAGUUAGAGAGCUGCGGUGAAAGUUUAGGCGCUAAGGGAUGAGGUUGCGGGCCAUCAGCUAGUUGGUGAGGUAAGGGCUCACCAAGGCGAUGACGGAUAGGGGACCUGAGAGGGUGGCCCCCCACACUGGGA
rnacentral:rRNA from 1 species